GACGUAGGGCGCGAGCGUUGUCCGGAUUUAUUGGGCGUAAAGCGCGUGUAGGCGGCUCGGUAAGUCUGCUGUGAAAGUCCAAGGCUCAACCUUGGAAAGCCGGUGGAUACUGUCGAGCUCGAGUCCGGAGGAGGCGAGUGGAAUUCCUGGUGUAGCGGUGAAAUGCGCAGAUAUCAGGAGGAACACCAAUGGCGAAGGCAGCUCGCUGGGACGGUACUGACGCUGAGGCGCGAAAGCCAGGGGAGCAAACGGG
rnacentral:rRNA from 1 species